GAUGAACGCUGGCGGCGUGCCUAAUACAUGCAAGUCGAGCGAACAGACGAGGAGCUUGCUCCUCUGACGUUAGCGGCGGACGUGUGAGUAACACGUGUAUAACCUACCUAUCAGACUGGUAUAACUUCGGGAAACCGGAGCUAAUACCAGAUAAUAUAUUGCACCGCAUGGUUCAAUAGUGAAAGUCGGUUUUUCUGGCUCUUAUAGAGGGAUCUGCGCCGGAUUGGCUAGUUGGUAAGGUAACGGCUUACCACGGGAACGAUGCGUAGCCGACCUGCGAGGGUGGUCGCCCACACUGGAACGGAGACAGCGUCCAGAGUCCUACGGUAGGGACCAGUCGGGAAUGUUACGCAACAGGGGGAAGCCUGACGGAGCAACCGCGAGUGAGUGAUGAAGGUCUUCGGAUCGUAAAACUGUGUUAUUAGGGAAGAACAAAUGUGUAAUGAGCUAUGCACGUAUUGACGGUACCUAAUAAGAAAGCAACGGCUAACUACGUG
rnacentral:rRNA from 1 species